rnacentral:rRNA from 1 species
AGACAGCAGUCGCCGCGGGAAUACGUAGGUGGCAAGCGUUGUCCGGAAUUAUUGGGCGUAAAGGGCUCGCAGGCGGUUUCUUAAGUCUGAUGUGAAAGCCCCCGGCUCAACCGGGGAGGGUCAUUGGAAACUGGGAAACUUGAGUGCAGAAGAGGAGAGUGGAAUUCCACGUGUAGCGGUGAAAUGCGUAGAGAUGUGGAGGAACACCAGUGGCGAAGGCGACUCUCUGGUCUGUAACUGACGCUGAGGAGCGAAAGCGUGGGGAGCGAACAGGAUUAGAUACCCCCGUAGUCCCUGUCUCUUAUAC